GACGAACGCUGGCGGCGUGCUUAACACAUGCAAGUCGAGCGGUAAGGCCCUUUCGGGGGUACGACGAGCGGCGAACGGGUGAGUAACACGUGGGUGACCUGCCCUCAGCUCUGGGAUAAGCCUGGGAAACCGGGUCUAAUACUGGAUAUGACUCCAUGACGCAUGUUGUGGGGUGGAAAGCCUUGUGCGGCUGAGGAUGGGCCCGCGGCCUAUCAGCUUGUUGGUGGGGUGAGGCCUACCAAGGCGACGACGGGUAGCCGGCCUGAGAGGGCGACCGGCCACACUGGGACUGAGACACGGCCCAGACUCCUACGGGAGGCAGCAGUGGGGGAAUCUUGCGCAAUGGGCGAAAGCCUGACGCAGCGACGCCGCGUGAGGGAUGACGGCCUGG
rnacentral:rRNA from 1 species